rnacentral:lncRNA from 1 species
CACGAGCAAUUCGGCUACCUGGAUUAACUUUACCUGAAUUACCACCUCUACCUUCAGUCACAUUGCCAACUCUACCUCCAGUCUCAUUGCCACAUCUAAGAGUACCACCUCUACCUUCAGUCACAUUGCCAACUCUACCUCCAGUCUCAUUGCCACCUCUAAGAGUACCACCUCUACCUUCAGUCACAUUGCCAACUCUACCUCCAGUCUCAUUGCCACCUCUAAGAGUACCACCUCUACCUUCAGUCACAUUGCCAACUCUACCUCCAGUCUCAUUGCCACCUCUAAGAGUACCACCUCUACCUUCAGUCACAUUGCCAACUCUACCUCCAGUCUCAUUGCCACCUCUACCUCCAGUCACAUUGCCACCUCUUCCACCUGUUCCAGGUUUGCCAUCUCUACCACCGGUUUUGCCAUCUCUACCAC